rnacentral:pre_miRNA from 2 species
GAUUUCAACUAAAAAAGUUAACAACAACAAAGUUGAAUAACUUUUAUUUUAGUCAUUUCUUCAUCCGACAAAGUGAUAGUAACAUUGUUCACAAAAUUGAUAUAUAUCUUAUCUGGUUUUAUAAACUAUAACACAUAUAUGUACAAUUUGUGAACAAUGUUACUAAUAUUUUGUCAGAUGAAGAAAUAACAAAAAAAAGUUUUAGAUCUUGAUGAGUUAUACUAUUUUGUUGUUGAUGACUUUUUCAAUUGAAAUC